GACAGAGGUGCCGAGCGUUAGGCGGAAUCACUGGGCUUAAAGCGUGUGUAGGCGGACCGUUAAGUGCCUUGUGAAAUCCCCCGGCUCAACCGGGGAACGGCUGGGCAUACUGGCGGUCUUGAGCCACCUAGGGGCGAGCGGAACAAGCGGUGGAGCGGUGAAAUGCGUAGAUAUCGCUUGGAACGCCGACGGUGAAAACAGCUCGCUGGGGUGUGCUGACGCUGAGACACGAAAGCCAGGGGAGCGAACGGG
rnacentral:rRNA from 1 species